rnacentral:rRNA from 1 species
UACGUAGGCAGCGAGCGUUGUUCGGAAUUACUGGGCGUAAAGCGUGCGUAGACGGUUAUUUAAGUCGGGUGUGAAAGCCCCGGGCUCAACCUGGGAAUUGCAUUCGAGACUGAAUAGCUAGGGUGCGGUAGAGGGAAGCGGAAUUUCCGGUGUAGCGGUGAAAUGCGUAGAUAUCGGAAGGAACAUCAGUGGCGAAAGCGGCUUCCUGGACCAGCACCGACGUUCAGGCACGAAAGCCGUGGGGAGCAA